rnacentral:rRNA from 1 species
GACGUAGGUGGCGAACGUUAUCCGGAAUUAUUGGGCGUAAAGGGCGCGUAGAUGGCUUAGUAAGUUGGCGGUGGGAAAUCGAGGCUCAACCUCGCGGAAGCCGGCAAUACUAUUAAGCUCGAGUACAGGAGAGGUUAAUGGAACUCCAUGUGGAGCGGUAAAAUGCACAGAUAUAUGGAAGAACACCAAUAAAGGCGAAGGCAAUUAGCUAUUCUGUUACUGACAUUGAGGCACGAAAGCGUGGGGAGCAAAACGG